rnacentral:rRNA from 1 species
CGCUGGCGGCGUGCCUAAUACAUGCAAGUCGAACGCGCAGCGAAGAGUGCUUGCACUCUUCAAGCGAGUGGCGAACGGGUGAGUAACACGUGAAUAACCUACCGAAAAGCAGGGGAUAACAUUUGGAAACAGAUGCUAAUACCGUAUAAAACGUGCUGUCGCAUGACAAAACGUUAAAAGGUCCGUUUGGACCACUUUUUUGAUGGAUUCGCGGUGCAUUAGUUUAGUUGGGUGGGGUAAAGGCCUACCAAGACGAUGAUGCAUAGCCGAGUUGAGAGACUGACCGGCCACAUUGGGACUGAGACACGGCCCAAACUCCUACGGGAGGCUGCAGUAGGGAAUCUUCCACAAUGGGCGAAAGCCUGAUGGAGCAACGCCGCGUGUGUGAUGAAGGCUUUCGGGUCGUAAAGCACUGUUGUAUGGGAAGAACGGUAAGGGUAGGAAAUGAUCUUUACAUGACGGUACCAUACCAGAAA